rnacentral:rRNA from 1 species
UACGUAGGGGGCUAGCGUUGUCCGGAAUCAUUGGGCGUAAAGCGCGCGUAGGCGGCCCUGUAAGUCCGCUGUAAAAGUCAAAGGCUCAACCUUUGAAAGCCGGUGGAUACUGCAGGGCUAGAGUCCGGAAGAGGCGAGUGGAAUUCCAGGUGUAGCAGUGAAAUGCGUAGAGAUCUGGAGGAACACCGAUGGCGAAGGCAGCCUCCUGGGCCAGUACUGACGCUCAUGCACGAAAGCGUGGGGAGCAAACAGG